rnacentral:rRNA from 1 species
GACGAACGCUGGCGGCGUGCUUAACACAUGCAAGUCGAACGAAGAGCGAUGGAAGCUUGCUUCUAUCAAUCUUAGUGGCGAACGGGUGAGUAACGCGUAAUCAACCUGCCCUUCAGAGGGGGACAACAGUUGGAAACGACUGCUAAUACCGCAUACGAUCUAAUCUCGGCAUCGAGGAUAGAUGAAAGGUGGCCUCUACAUGUAAGCUAUCACUGAAGGAGGGGAUUGCGUCUGAUUAGCUAGUUGGAGGGGUAACGGCCCACCAAGGCGAUGAUCAGUAGCCGGUCUGAGAGGAUGAACGGCCACAUUGGGACUGAGACACGGCCCAGACUCCUACGGGAGGCAGCAGUGGGGAAUCUUCCGCAAUGGACGAAAGUCUGACGGAGCAACGCCGCGUGAGUGAUGACGGCCUUCGGGUUGUAAAGCUCUGUUAAUCGGGACGAAAGGCCUUCUUGCGAACAGUUAGAAG